AUUGAACGCUGGCGGCAUGCUUUACACAUGCAAGUCGAACGGUAACAGGGUGCUUGCACCGCUGACGAGUGGCGAACGGGUGAGUAAUACAUCGGAAUGUACCCAGUAAUGGGGGAUAACGCUUCGAAAGGGGUGCUAAUACCGCAUACGCCCUGAGGGGGAAAGUGGGGGAUCGCAAGGCCUCACGUUAUUGGAGCAGCCGAUGGCUGAUUAGCUAGUUGGUGAGGUAAAGGCGCACCAAGGCGACGAUCAGUAGCGGGUCUUAGAGGACGAUCCGCCACACUGGAACUGAGACACGGUCCAGACUCCUACGGGAGGCAGCAGUGGGAAUCUUGGACAAUGGGCGAAAGCCUGAUCCAGCAAUGCCGCGUGCGUGAAGAAGGCCUUCGGGGUGUAAAGCGCUUUUGUCUGGGAGCAAAUCCUGGCCUCUAAUACAGGUCGGGGAUGAGAGUACCAGAAGAAUAAGGACCGGCUAACUACGUGCCAGCCGCCGCGGUAAGAC
rnacentral:rRNA from 1 species